rnacentral:rRNA from 1 species
UGAGGAAUAUUGGUCAAUGGGCGGGAGCCUGAACCAGCCAAGUCGCGUGAGGGAAGACGGUCCUAUGGAUUGUAAACCUCUUUUGUCGGGGAGCAAAGGAGGCCACGUGUGGUCAAAAGCGAGAGUACCCGAAGAAAAAGCAUCGGCUAACUCGUGCC